GUAGUACAGAGGGGAGUACAUUUUUCCAGCUGUCAGUCCCCAGAUUCUCUGCAGACCUGACUUCCGAGGUAUCUCCAGACUUUUCGAUGCUGAACAUUUCUCAGUUUGUGAACCCAGCAGAGCUGGGCUGAGCCAGGUUCUGCCUAGCACCAGCAAUGCCAACAUCCCACGAGAAAAGCUGUUCUUGCUGUACUUUUGGAGGCUGGGACUUCCAGAAUGCGAUGCAGAGCAUUUAGUUUAUUAGACCCGUCUUUUGUGACCGGGACAGUUCACUAAGCUGAAAAAAGUCCUGUCUGCAUGCAUCUUGCAGCAGGGACAGCUGCAGGCUGGCACAUGUCUCCGCUGAAUCAGCAGGUCACUGGGGACCAACAACUCUGUUCAAGAAGAGGAGCCAUCUCCGAUGGGGUUCAAAGUCACCCUUAUUGGCUUGUGUCCUGACCAUUCGGCCUGUUGGCAAGCGUAUAUUCCUUGGUUUUACUUCAUAUCUGGUUUGUCCUAAGUUCCUAGUACUUGCAUGCUGGAGACAUUUUUUUUUCCAUUAGAUAAGUAUGUCUUCUGGAACCAAAAUCAUAGUGCAGAACUUUGUCCAGACUGGGCUCCAGCUUGAUGCAGUCAGAGACAUAACUUUGCAUUGGGUUUGGGUUCCCAUGUAAUUUACUCUGUCGGUCAUAGUUGCUCUCAAAUCUGGUAGUUUUCCUGAUCCACUUUUCAAUUACUCUGGCUUUUUAUUGUUGUAAUGAUGGUAACCAGGGAGCAACUCUUAACUUUUAUUGGUUCCACUGAGAGGAAAACUGACUGCUGCAAGCUGAAAGCUUUCUAUAGGAUUUAUAAUUAGAAGAAAUCAAUGAUGCCACUUCUGAACUGCUGCUCUUGGAAUACAUGGUAAUCAACGAUACAGAAACAAACUCUGUCUAGUGCUGAUGCUCAAAUGCCCCGAAUGAUACAGUGAGUACCCUGAAUGAAAACCUACUGCUUGAACAGGUAUUUGGCUUCCUAUGGAGAGCACUGAGAAUCACCCCCUGCAGGUUCUGGUGGACUUCAGAAGCCAUCACCAGGAAAGACAUCUCUUGGAGUCAGAGGAUGUUGCCCAGGAGAUAUCCAGAAGGGAGAGUAGACCUGAUCCAGUCCAGUCAAUAACUUCUUGACUCCUUACUUUAAAUUUCCUGCUAGGAAUGAAGCACAGUGCCUACUAGUUCCUUCAGUCUCCAUACCCCCAAUUCCCGAAGUUUGCUAUUGGUUGCUAGCUGCUAUGGCUGCAGAGCACCGUUUUGACUACUGGCACCUUUUGCAGAUGCUUAGCUGUCCUACCACUGCCACUGAUCUAUGCAGGGAAACAAUCCUAUGAGAAGAGCUUACUUCUUUGAAGUGUUACAUACUGAAAUAUUACUUAUGAUAAUUUCCUUUAAUGUCAGCUCAACUUUUAAAAUAUAGUGGGAGGGCUCUUUCCUUGAAUCCUCAACUGGCCUCGCUGCCUUACAGACUGAGAAAGGCCAUGUGGACACCCUGCACAGCACAAGGACAGGGGCUGUUCUCGUGAGGCCCAUGUUUGCCAGAGCCUGCCAUAGCAAGGUUUCAGAGACCUCAGCAUGCCCAACUUCCCUGCACUGUCAACUAGGCGUGGGUGCUCCCCUUUGGGCGUAAAUUGGACUUUCACAGCUCCCUUGCAAAAUCUAUCAAAGCUGCAUCAAUAAAAGCGUUCUUUUCAACAAGGGGCAGGACUGGCUCCUCUAGCAGUCACGGACUUAACUAGGUGAACACUCAGAUGUUAAUUUUUCCUGAGACUACUUGGCACAGUUUUCACAUGCAAGCCACCUAAAAAGGUCCUUUUCUGCCUUAUCAUUGUCCAUGAGGGCUCCAAAUGAUCCUCGUGUCCACUAACUUGGUAAUCACAGAUUGGGACAGGGGACUUUGAGACAGCAGCAGGAGAGUAGUCUCUUGACUUGUGCUUUUGAGAAUCAGGUCCGCAGUGCCAAAAGUUUCAUGUUUCAUAGAUUCCUUGUUUGGGGUAGGCCUUGCUAAUUCUGAACAACGCGUAUAAUAUCUUUGUCUUCGCUAUCAGAUCAGUUGCAUUUCAAGCCAUGGGUCUCUUGAACACUGCAAGGUUUUACAGCUUGCUACAUCUGAGUAAGCUGGCCAAUUUCUGUUGUUUUCUAGCAUGCUGGACUUGUAAACUUGAGCUGCUUUAACCAUAUACUGUUUUGUACUGGGUUUUCACAGCCUGUGUUCACAGAUAGAUAAGAAGCGAGACGAUGAUCCUGUGCAUGCAGAUGUAAAUUCAUAAUCACACCUUGCUCUGCUCCUGUCUCAGCUUUCCUAGCCAUGCAUCCACAGUACAUCGCAGGCAAAUGCAAACUGGCUCUGCCCACCCUCCUAGCCGACUGAAAAACCCCAGGAUGUGGCCCAAAAAAAUACUCUGACUGUACAGCAGCUGGCUGGGCUUUGUGCUGUGUUAAUCACAGUCACAUCGUUUCUGAGUAGCUCUGAAUGCACAUACGGCUUCUGCGAGCACUCACAGCACAUCACAUAGCUGUUCCUUUAGUCAGCUGGGCUUUGAGCUCAUAAACUACUGAUCUGGGACUGUUCUAUAGGGCCUGUUUAGUGUUGGCCACAGAUUAAUGCACAGAGCCCCAGCCUUCUCAAUGCAGAAUCUAAUGUAUUCCCAGCUCUGUCUGGGGACCAGAUGAAUAGCUGUUUUGUCCUGACUGUACUUGCUAGAUAAGCUCAGCCAUGGAUAUUUCAUAACGAGAGAGAAACUGUGAAUGCUGGAAAAGCCAGCAGUGUCUGGAGGAGCAGUGAGACCAUGCACAAAAGGGAGCGAGCUCCUGCAAGUGAAGCUGCAUUUGCAGAUGGGAUUUGUACUGUAAAGGCUGAAGGACUCACUAGUGAUGGCUAGGAGACAGCUAGCACCAUUUCAAUCCACGGCACUGUCUGUAAUGCAUUGUGGCAGGCCUGUGCUGUAAAAGAUCCUGGAUGAAAAGACAACAUAUGCAUACAUAAAUAUAUACAUACACAUAUAUGUGUGUGUGUGUGUGUGUGUGUGCAGUAUGUGUCAAUAGAGACAUAUUAAAUGUUAUAUAAACGUUCAGACAUACACUCCCUCCAAAUCCAGAGGUCUUCUAUUACACAGUUUUCUAUCAAAUAGCCUCUACUGUUUGCUGCUAAAGGGUGAACAUUUGCCAAUCUGAAGCCUGGAGCAACUUGCUUGUGUGCUGACCUGGGAGAAGGUAAAGACAAAGCAAUAAAGCCACUCGGGAGCCUGCAACAUGCAACCAAUCUUAAAGCAGCAAGGCCAUUUCCCUAUGUUCAUCCCUGAAUCAUUACUACCUUUAAAGCAGAACUAACUUCCUCUGUCCACCCCCUUGCUGGCUCACACAUCCACUGAAAGAGGGGUGGGAGUCCUACAGCUUCAGGAAUAAAAAUGCAAAAGAUGA